CACUCGCUCACCAUGUUCAUUUGGUCUGGAUUACUUCUCUAACAUUUUAAAAAUUGCUACUGUCAAGUUUCAGUUGGCGCGGGUGUACAGCAGAGGUAUAUAUGUGAUAAGGUGCUGUGAUCAUGAGAAAAAGUAUGCCGUACAGAGGGGAUCAAGCUGUAUAUUGCUAUGUGGAAUGCUUUGAUUCGAGGUGCUGUCGGGUUGGGAGCAUGAAACAUGCUCUAUAGUUCUUUGGUUCAAUGCAGGAGGAAGGGAUGUACAUAGACCCGAAGAUCUUUAUUAAGAUCAUCCACGGGUUGUGGAAGCAAGGGGAGUGAGAUUAAAUCAAGAAGUUUUUUGACAAAAUGAGGAUUCAAUGGCUCAAGGAGAGUAAGCCCCAAGCUAGAUCAUUAUUGAUUUCCUUUAGUAGGAUGUCACAUAAUUCAUUUAGAGUGGAGCAGGAAUAUUCAAAAAGGAAAUGUACACCAUAUAUAUUAGUAUAAUACAUCUGACACUUUCUCAUCUUUCACUAAUAGCACAUUGAUCAUACCAUUUGCACAGCUCAUUCCGGUGUAAGUCGGGCCAAUUUAGAAAAUAUUUUAAAGCUGAUUCAUACAGGUUAUAGAAGUCAGAGUCAAACAGCAUAAUAAGAUAUUUGUUCGUGCAUAAUUUCUGAUUCGUUUGUCUUCUAAGGAUAAAUGGGACUGCUAUCUAGACUGUACCUUAAAAACUAUUAGACCCUGCUUAUAACUAUUUUUCAUCUUGGCGUGAUUUAUAAGGGAGGCCACGCCAUUUGUUUUUGUUAUCACAGGCCGUGAUGACCCUGAUUCAUUGAUGUAUAGUGUUGUAUGUGGUCAAUUACCUAAGACAGUAGUCACACUUCUCCUGAUUUGCCUUGAUCUGAAAUCUGACUUUUGUAUUGGUUGUAGUCAAUCUGAAUAUUAGUGAGGUACUUUUCCAAUUGUCAUUGUUCAGUUCUCUACAUUAUCAUGCAUUUUCUUUGCUUUAAAGAUGUCAUGAUGUUCGCCAUGGCAGAGAAAAAAUGUUUUGAAGUUGUUCCUUAGUAUGCUUUGGUGUGCCUAUGCACACAUGAAAACAAAAGGUCGAGAGGUUUAAAAAUGUCAUGUUUUUUACCAUUGCAGAUAUCCUGCUUCUGGUACUUGCCUUCUACCUCACAAUGUUAACACAAAAGUUACUAUAUCUGAUGUCCCCAACCGUGUGAAGGUGUUUAAGGAAGGAGGUUCAGAGUCAUCAUCGUAGUAUGGAGACGCUGCCCAUGUUGUCAUCAUAGUAUGGAGCGGCUACAACUCUAAGUGGAGGUGGUGUAUAUGUCGGAGUGAUUUAUUCUUGACAAACGUGGAGUGCGGCUUGUUCGGAUCUGCCUUCUUGGCU